ensembl:lncRNA
CUUUAACUAAAAAAUGAAAUCUAUUUUAAAUUAAAACUGAUAUUAUUAUUGUUAUUUAACACUGGUGAUAUUAAGUGAACAUUGAUUAAAACUGAAAAUAUAAAUGUGUAUAAAACACUUUACACCCAACUAUAAAUUCAUUUUGCGAUUGAAUCAUACACAUACAGUAAAUAUUUCCACAAAUCCCCAUUGCUAAUCAAAAUGUGAGAACAGCGAAAUCCUGAGUCCUCAUGCCCUCAAUUACUCUCCCACGGCUGACCCUCCAGAUGGCACUAUUGAAAAAAAUUCCACCCGUCCAUUGAAGAGCUCAAUUAAAAGCCCACGGACCAAUGACUAUUAUGACAAGCCUAUUGUCCCAUUUUCCUCUGAUUGGCUGGCUGUGGAUAUGUUUUGGUAUAAAAGAUGGGCUAGAUUGAGGGUCUUGUGUGGGAUUUGGUUUUGCCUCUGAAGAAGAGCCACACGGAUCUCUCAGCUUCAGCUAUUUAAAUUCUUAACCACCGAAACUCAACAUCAGCACCAAACAUGCCUUCCUACAUGGACAUCACCCCUCAAGACAACGUUCACUAUGCUAGGUGCAAACUCUACAGCUUGGAGAGAAAAUGUUUCAGCAAAGUGGAGAAACUGAAAUCUUCUUUUGAAGACCACCUCCAGCAUGGUAUUCCCACAUCCGACAUUUUGGAGAAGACUGUGUCCUUCUUCAGCUCAAAGAAGGCCUUAAUCUUCCCCAGCGGCUACUCCAGGUGUUCUCGUGAAAUUCUGCGUCUUUCUCCCACUCCAGAUCAGGACGUGGCGCCAUUGUUUUAAAGCCAACGUCCAUCACAGACUGACCUGCACAUGAAAAGGGUCAACAAGACAAGCACUUGAUCGGAUCUCAUGUGUUCGCACAUCUACCUCAGAGGAAAAUAGCACUUUGCUUGUUCUCUCUGGACUUUUUUUCCCCUCUAAAGGACUGAUCUUGUCAUUGCACAGUUUGUAAAGACAAGAAGAUCAGCUCACAGGGCUCAUAAUAGAAGCUGUGCAUUGAUUGUAAUGAAACCACCAAGCUGCUCAAUGCAUUUUGUGCAUUUAGAUAUAAGAUUCCUCUGUAUUUUUCUCUUGAAGAGACAUUUACUGAAUGUUUUUAAAACCAUUUGACCAUGCUCUCUUUUUGAGGACAUGCUUAAACAGAACUUUAUUUCUUUUUUAAAGAUACAGUGUAUCAUUUGGUUAUUUUUGUGAUGAUUUUUUUAAUCAUUUGUAUAAUGCUCUAGUUUGUUUCUAUAAAAUAAAAGAUUUAAUUGCAU